UCCCAGUGUAGGGGUAAAAUCCGUAGAUAUUGGGAGGAACACCGGAGGCGAAGGCGAUCACCUGGCUUACAACUGACACUCAUCCUCGAGAGCAUGGGUAGCAAACAGGAUUAGAUACCCUGGUAGUCUAUGCUGUAAACGAUGGACACUAGAUGUUGUGGGAUUUGAUCCCUGCAGUAUCGUAGUUAACGCGUUAAGUGUCCCGCCUGGGGAAUACGGUCGCAAGAUUAAAACUCAAAGAAAUUGACGGGGGCCCGCACAAGCGGUGGAGCAUGUGGUUCAAUUCGAGGCAACGCGAAAAACCUUACCUGGGCUUGACAUCCUGCUUUAAAUCAUAGAGAUAUGGUCUAGUCUUCGGACAAGGCAGGACAGGUGCUGCAUGGCUGUCGUCAGCUCGUGUCGUGAGAUGUUGGGUUAAGUCCUGCAACGAGCGCAACCCUUAUCAUUAGUUGCCAUCAUUAAGUUGGGUACUCUAAUGAGACUGCCGGUGUUAAACCGGAGGAAGGUGGGGAUGACGUCAAGUCAUCACGGCCCUUAUGUCCAGGGCUACACACGUGCUACAAUGGUCGGUACAAAGAGCUGCAAACCCGCAAGGGGGAGCUAAUCUCAAAAAGCCGAUCUCAGUUCGGAUCGGAGUCUGCAAUUUGACUUCGUGAAGCUGGAAUCGCUAGUAAUCGCGAAUCAGC
rnacentral:rRNA from 1 species